rnacentral:lncRNA from 1 species
AUGGGGAACAUUCUGACCUGUUGUGUGGGCUCCAAGGCCAGCCGCAAGCCGGGCCGGCGCAAGGGGCCAGUGGAGCCAGAUUACGAGUCUGAGAUCUGUGGAGCAGUGGCGGGAGCUGCCGUGGCACAAGCACCUGCUUCCCAGGAGACUGAGGAGUUUUCCAUGGGAACCAGGCAUGGUCACCACCUGCAGCACAUCAGUGACCAGGAGAGGCCCCGAGGCAGGUUGGCACUGUAUGGAACCAGGAAAUCGAUCCCUUUUUGUCUCGUCACUGCACUUUUGGAAGUCUUUCCUACACAGACAAAAGGAAUUAUUUAAAAACACCACAGACAUGAACGUUUUUCUCAUCGAAGACUAGAAGAGAAUUUUACAAACGCCUAAAUCCUCAGCCAGUAGGGGAUUGGCUACAAAAAGUAUAGGAAUAACACUUGCUGCACUAUUGUGUGUAUUAAACAGUAAAUAUGCCUGAAAGGGCUGAUUAUUUUUCUGUAAUAAAAUGUCAAAUUUUAUACAUUGAUAAAGAUUUUUUUUUCUCUUUUUAUGGUCUUGGAAAUCAAAGCCAGGCCCUCGUGCUUGCUAGGUAAGUUCUUUACACCUAAGCGACAUUCUUGAGGCCAAGAGCUAUUUUUAAAACAUGCAUAAUUAAAGGAACUAAAAGGAAUGGUUG